UACGGGGGGGGGCAAGCGUUGUUCGGAAUUACUGGGCGUAAAGGGCUCGUAGGCGGCCAACUAAGUCAGACGUGAAAUCCCUCGGCUUAACCGGGGAACUGCGUCUGAUACUGGAUGGCUUGAGUUCGGGAGAGGGAUGCGGAAUUCCAGGUGUAGCGGUGAAAUGCGUAGAUAUCUGGAGGAACACCGGUGGCGAAGGCGGCAUCCUGGACCGACACUGACGCUGAGGAGCGAAAGCCAGGGGAGCAAACGGGG
rnacentral:rRNA from 1 species